UCAUGGCGGCAGGCUACACAUGCAAGUCGAGCGGUAGCACAGAGAGCUUGCUCUCGGGUGACGAGCGGCGGACGGGUGAGUAAUGUCUGGGAAACUGCCUGAUGGAGGGGGAUAACUACUGGAAACGGUAGCUAAUACCGCAUAAUGUCGCAAGACCAAAGAGGGGGACCUUCGGGCCUCUUGCCAUCAGAUGUGCCCAGAUGGGAUUAGCUAGUAGGUGGGGUAACGGCUCACCUAGGCGACGAUCCCUAGCUGGUCUGAGAGGAUGACCAGCCACACUGGAACUGAGACACGGUCCAGACUCCUACGGGAGGCAGCAGUGGGGAAUAUUGCACAAUGGGCGCAAGCCUGAUGCAGCCAUGCCGCGUGUAUGAAGAAGGCCUUCGGGUUGUAAAGUACUUUCAGCGGGGAGGAAGGUGUUGAGGUUAAUAACCUCAGCAAUUGACGUUACCCGCAGAAGAAGCACCGGCUAACUCCGUGCCAGCAGCCGCGGUAAUACGGAGGGUGCAAGCGUUAAUCGGAAUUACUGGGCGUAAAGCGCACGCAGGCGGUCUGUCAAGUCGGAUGUGAAAUCCCCGGGCUCAACCUGGGAACUGCAUUCGAAACUGGCAGGCUAGAGUCUUGUAGAGGGGGGUAGAAUUCCAGGUGUAGCGGUGAAAUGCGUAGAGAUCUGGAGGAAUACCGGUGGCGAAGGCGGCCCCCUGGACAAAGACUGACGCUCAGGUGCGAAAGCGUGGGGAGCAAACAGGAUUAGAUACCCUGGUAGUCCACGCCGUAAACGAUGUCGACUUGGAGGUUGUUCCCUUGAGGAGUGGCUUCCGGAGCUAACGCGUUAAGUCGACCGCCUGGGGAGUACGGCCGCAAGGUUAAAACUCAAAUGAAUUGACGGGGGCCCGCACAAGCGGUGGAGCAUGUGGUUUAAUUCGAUGCAACGCGAAGAACCUUACCUACUCUUGACAUCCAGAGAACUUUCCAGAGAUGGAUUGGUGCCUUCGGGAACUCUGAGACAGGUGCUGCAUGGCUGUCGUCAGCUCGUGUUGUGAAAUGUUGGGUUAAGUCCCGCAACGAGCGCAACCCUUAUCCUUUGUUGCCAGCGGUCCGGCCGGGAACUCAAAGGAGACUGCCAGUGAUAAACUGGAGGAAGGUGGGGAUGACGUCAAGUCAUCAUGGCCCUUACGAGUAGGGCUACACACGUGCUACAAUGGCGCAUACAAAGAGAAGCGACCUCGCGAGAGCAAGCGGACCUCAUAAAGUGCGUCGUAGUCCGGAUUGGAGUCUGCAACUCGACUCCAUGAAGUCGGAAUCGCUAGUAAUCGUAGAUCAGAAUGCUACGGUGAAUACGUUCCCGGGCCUUGUACACACCGCCCGUCACACCAUGGGAGUGGGUUGCAAAAGAAGUAGGUAGCUUAACCUUCGGGAGGGCGCUACCACUUUGAUUAAGGGGC
rnacentral:rRNA from 1 species